UUGACGGGGACCCGCACAAGCAGCGGAGCGUGUGGUUUAAUUCGUUGCUACACGAAGAACCUUACCUGGGUUCGACAUAUAAGUUGUAGGGAACUGAAAAGGGACCGACCUUCGGGAGCUUAUACAGGUGUUGCAUGGCUGUCGUCAGCUCGUGUCGUGAGAUGUUCGGUUAAGUCCGCUAACGAGCGCAACCCUCGCCGUAUGUUACAAGUGUCAUACGGGACUGCCGGUAAAAGCCGGAGGAAGGUGAGGAUGAUGUCAAGUCAGCAUGACCUUUAUAUCCAGGGCUACACACACGCUACAAUGGUCUGUACAAUUGGUUGCCAAGCCGCGAGGCGGAGCCAAUCCGUAAAGCAGGCCUCAGUUCAGAUUGCAGUCUGCAACUCGACUGCAUGAAGCCGGAGUUGCUAGUAACCGCAGGUCAGCUAUACUGCGUUGAAUACGUUCCCGGGGCUU
rnacentral:rRNA from 1 species